rnacentral:rRNA from 1 species
CAGCCUGAUGCUGCGACGCCGCGUGCGGGAUGGAGGCCUUCGGGUUGUAAACCGCUUUUGUUUGGGAGCAAGCCCUUCGGGGUGAGUGUACCUUUCGAAUAAGCACCGGCUAACUACGUGCCAGCAGCCGCGGUAAUA